rnacentral:rRNA from 1 species
AGGAGCAAGUGCACGCCUUUCCAUCUUUACUUCUCCACCUGUGCACCUUUUGUAGUCUUUUGAAAUUAGAGAGCGAAUACUCGAGGCAAACUCGGAUAGAGGAUCUGCUGCGCGCAAAGUCCAGCUUUCCUUGUCAAUUGUCUUUUAAUUUUUAAAGGUCUACGUUUUUCAUAUACCCCAAAUGUAUGUUAAGAAUGUAAUCAAUGGGCUUUAUUGCCUAUAAAACAAAUACAACUUUCAGCAACGGAUCUCUUGGCUCUCGCAUCGAUGAAGAACGCAGCGAAAUGCGAUAAGUAAUGUGAAUUGCAGAAUUCAGUGAAUCAUCGAAUCUUUGAACGCACCUUGCGCUCCUUGGUAUUCCGAGGAGCAUGCUUGUUUGAGUGUCAUUAAAUUCUCAACCCUUUCAAAGUUUUAUUCAACUUUGAAGUAGGGCUUGGAUUUGGGUGUUGCAGGCUUUUCAAUAGUCGGCUCUCCUUAAAAGUAUUAGCGGAACUUUUUGUAAGCCGUCUACAUAGUGUGAUAAUUAUCUACGCUAUCGAUGUUGCUUAGGCUAAUAUAAUAAAGUUCAGCUUUCUAAU